CGGAUUGGAGUCUGNAACCCGACUCCAUGAAGCUGGAUUCGCUAGUAAUCGCGCAUCAGCCACGGCGCGGUGAAUACGUUCCCGGGCCUUGUACACACCGCCCGUCAAGCCAUGGAAGCCGGGAGUGCCUGAAGUACGCGACCGCAAGGAGCGUCCUAAGGUAAAACCGGUGACUGGGGCUAAGUCGUAACAAGGUAAC
rnacentral:rRNA from 1 species